CAGUUCUGCCAACGAUUUAUCUUCAGAAGACAAGCAGAUGAGGAGACAAAACCUACUGAUGUGGGUACCCAAGCAGGAACCCCCCUCUUGCACCGGCGACUCACGUGGGAAGAAGAAUUCACUGAGCUGAAAUGGAGUGAGAGCUAAGAUGCUCUCAGAAUAUUCUUAAAAUGACUGUGCUGCAAAGAAGCCCGGGUGAAUAGAAGAAAAUAGAAGGAAUGGUGGAUACAAGUGAAGGUUAAAAUGAGACCCCAUUUAUCGCACCAGCUGUUGGUGAUUUCAGCGCACCUUUCCAAGCCUCUUGAGAGUUCUGCUCUAACCACACUGCCCCCUAGUGUUCUCUCGCUUUGGUGCAACUGCAGGUUUCUCAUACUUCCGGAGAAAUAGAAAGCACCAGAUGACAGCCACCACACACUUUUGUCCCCAUUGCAAUAGGAUGCUUCUAACAAUCGUAAAAUUAUGAAACACUGAAUUCCUUAAAAGUUGUCCAUUUGUGGAUUUAUCUGAUGGUAACUAUUAAAUAUUUAAAAGUAACUUUAAUGAAUCUACUUAUGAUGAUUGAGUAAUCUAUUCUCUGAAUUCCACCAAAAAACCAUUUUAUGACCACAGUCAUAACGAACAUAUUUCUAUAGUCCUAAGCUGGCAAGAUAAAUAGAGAACAGUUCAUAAUAUAAACAAUAUAUUUAUUUAUUCCUAAACUAAUAAGAUGACUAUCAAUCUGUAAGAGACUAUGAAAAUCAAUACCGUAUACUUGGUAUAGUUGGUGAGAAUUUCAGGAGCAUGUUUGUUCUUUUAUUUGUGUUUUGGAAGAUACUUAGCCCACUUUUUUUUUUUUUUUUUUGAGAUGGAGUCUCACUCUUGUCGCCCAGGCUGGAGUGGAGUGGCAUGAUCUCGACUCACUGCAACCUCCACCUCCCAGGUUCAAGUGAUACUCCUGCCUCAGCCUCCCGAGUAGCUGGGACUACAGGUGCGCACCACCACACCCAGCUAAUUUCUGUAUUUUUAGUAGAGACGGGGUUUCACCAUGUUGGCCAGAUGGUCUCGAUCUCUUGACCUUGUGAUCUGCCCGCCUCGGCCUACUUAGCCAACUUUUAAGGACAAGUCCAGCCAUCCUUAUCCUUCACAGCAAAUAACAAACAUAGUGAUUUGUGGGGGUGAAGAGAUGUUGGUCAAGGGGUAUGAAAGUACAGUCAGAUAAAAGGAAUGUGUCCUAGAUUUGAUAGAAUACUAGGGAAAUUACAGUUAACAAAAAUUUAUUGUACACUUCAAAGUAGCUAGAAGCAAAGAACUGUAAUGUCCCCAACACAAAGAAAAGAUAAAUGUUUGGGGUGAUAAUAUCUCAAUUACUCUGAUUUGAUCAUUACACAUUGUAUGCAGGUAUCAAAAUAUCACAUAUCCCCCCAAAAUAUGUACAACUGUUGUAUAUUAAUAAAAAUAAAUACAAACAAAAAGACCCAAAUAGUUAUUAAUUAUAGUGUAAAUAUUAGACUAGAGCCAUUCUGGACAAGCACCUGUUCAACACCAUAUCCUCAUUUUCUGGCACCCAGUAGACACUGCGGAAGUAUUUUUGAUUGGUCCUGCAGAGGUUCUACCCCAACCUCACCAGGUGCAGGUGGAUGCCAGGUGCCAGCCUGGGAGAGGCUCUAAGUUCUAAAGAGUGUGUCGGUGGAUGGUGUGCUUUCAUCUUUUAGUUCAUAUGGCCCUGCCUUUUAUUAACAGCACAGAACACUGGGCCCAGACUCUUGCGAGAACAUGCCUUUGAACUGUUUGCUGCUCACCUUUUAGUGAAAGCUCUUGACAGAAAUAUUAAAGAGAAAG
ensembl:lncRNA DLGAP1-AS4 DLGAP1 antisense RNA 4